UACGGAGGGUGCGAGCGUUGUCCGGAAUCAUUGGGCGUAAAGCGCACGUAGGCGGUCUGUUAUGUCGGAUGUGAAAUCCCUCGGCUCAACUGAGGAAGUGCAUCCGAAACUGGCAGGCUAGAGUACUAAAGAGGGUCGCGGAAUUCCCGGUGUAGAGGUGAAAUUCGUAGAUAUCGGGAGGAACACCGGUGGCGAAGGCGGCGACCUGGGUAGAUACUGACGCUGAGGUGCGAAAGCGUGGGGAGCAAACAGG
rnacentral:rRNA from 1 species